AUUGAACGCUGGCGGCAUGCUUUACACAUGCAAGUCGAACGGCAGCGCGGGCUUCGGCCUGGCGGCGAGUGGCGAACGGGUGAGUAAUGCAUCGGAACGUGCCCAGUAGUGGGGGAUAGCCCAGCGAAAGCCGGAUUAAUACCGCAUACGACCUGAGGGUGAAAGCGGGGGACCGAAAGGCCUCGCGCUAUCGGAGCGGCCGAUGUCGGAUUAGCUAGUUGGUGGGGUAAAGGCUUACCAAGGCGACGAUCCGUAGCUGGUCUGAGAGGACGACCAGCCACACUGGGACUGAGACACGGCCCAGACUCCUACGGGAGGCAGCAGUGGGGAAUUUUGGACAAUGGGGGCAACCCUGAUCCAGCCAUGCCGCGUGCGGGAAGAAGGCCUUCGGGUUGUAAACCGCUUUUGUUCGGGAAGAAAUCCUCUGGGCUAAUACCCCGGGGGGAUGACGGUACCGGAAGAAUAAGCACCGGCUAACUACGUGC
rnacentral:rRNA from 1 species